ACUGGGCGUGGUGGCUCACGCCUGUAAUCCCAGCAGCUCUGGAGGCUGAGACAGGAGGAGCUCAGGUUCAAAGCCAGCCUCAGCAACAGUGAGGCCCUGUCUCUA
rnacentral:sRNA from 1 species